AGCUCCAGUAGCGUAUAUUAAAGUUGCUGCAGUUAAAAAGCUCGUAGUUGAAUUUCUGUCUGCGAGAAUCGAGACUUCAUAGUCGAGAUUUCUCCGGGCAUCUGUUUGCAAACAUGUGUUCGGCCUUCACUGGUUGGCCAUGCGAGCAAACGUUUUACCUUGAGAAAAUUAGAGUGUUCCAGGCAGGCUUCAGCCGGAAUACAUUAGCAUGGAAUAAUGGAAUAGGACUGGGGACUAUUUAUGGUUGAGGCUCCAGUAAUGAUUAAUAGGAACAGUCGGGGGCAUUAGUACUUAACAGUCAGAGGUGAAAUUCUUGGAUUUGUUAAAGACUAACUAAUGCGAAAGCAUUUGCCAAGCAUGUUUUCA
rnacentral:rRNA from 1 species